rnacentral:lncRNA from 1 species
AUUUAUGCUGUUUUGAACCAAUGCAUUAUAGUGUUUGUUACUUGAGUACAUUUCACUUGUGAUGUUGCAGACUGAGAAUUUAUAAUAGAAUUAGAUAAAAAUAUAUUUCACAUAAACCGACAAAUGACAUUGCGAUGUACAGAAGGCGAAACAGCCCAUCCAUUCCUUCCUGUACAGAUGUGGAGGAGGCUCUGCACUCCAAUGGAGAGCUGAUCCCUUGUAAGAUCUAUGGAAGGACCUUCUACACUACAGUCCUGGGAAGACAAACACACAGAUUUGUGUACAGAUUCAUGUUGCUUUCUCUGGUGAGCCACAGCUGUCUCACUGAUAUACACAUCCCCCAGGCUUCAUAAUUACACCCUUCCCUCUGCAGCAGAGUAAAACAUUGAUUAUGUUUUGAUAUGCUUACCAAACACUGGUGAGGUUAAGUAGCCAUGUUUACAGUAGCUAAAAAAAAAGGGAAGGCGGUGAUGAAAUAAUGACCACUAUCUGUGUUCUGGUGCCAAUUUCCACAGCAGUUGUCAUCAGAUGGAGGACAGAGUCAGCAGCAGCUGCUAGUCAUUGUGUUGCUGUAUUGCUGACUGAGUUAAGAAGAAACAUACCCCCCCCCAUCUGUCAGAAAGUACCAGCUAAGAAGAGGAAGGUGGUUGACUUUGGCAAGCAGAAGGCUGAGGGAACAGAGAUCUACAUGACCAAACGUGAGACAACACAUCACACGGUUCAUAGUAGGAGAACAGCUCCAACAACCAUGCCAAAGCUUGCCCCAGACUACUGUGAAAGAGGCUGUGGAAGGGACCCAGUGAUGAAUUGAAUGAAGACAAAGACCCACUCUACUGUAAAACAAGCCCACAUUUAUUAGCUAAAUGUGACCUAUAUAUGCAAAAGUAUGUGGACACCCAUUCAAAUGAGUGGAUUCUGUCAUUUCAGCCACACCUGUUGCUGACAGGUGUAUAAAAUCGAGAAAGAAAAAAAACAGUUUACAGAUUUUUAGAGAAUUGAUGUUUUAAUAGGUUAAAAAAAGGAAAAUUUUUAGUAAACAACAAUUUAAAAUAUUUAAGCUUUAAUAUGUUGUCAAUCUCAACCGUUAUUUUUUUCCAAUGAUGAAGACAUGGAUGUCUGAUUGUAUGGUGGGGUAUGCAAAAUAGGUCAACUUUGAGAACCUUUUAUGUAUCUUUUAUCUAUUUUGACAUUGAGGUCCAAAAAGUCACUUUUUGAGCACCUCUACCAGAGGUGGCUGGUAAUGGCUGGAGAGGAAUAGGUGGAAUGGUAUCAAAUACAUCAAACGGAAGAUUUCCAUGUAUUUCCCCUAUAUAGUCAACUAUUUUAUGCAGUUAUUUAUGCUAACUCUACUGUAAAACAAGCCUACAUUUGUUAACUGUGACCUACACUAUAUAUGCAAAAGUAUGUGGACACCCCUUCAAAUUAGUGGAUUCAGCUAUUUCAGCCACACCCGUUGCUGACAGGUGUCUAAAAUCGAAUACACAGAUAUGCAAUCUCCAUAGACAGACAUUGGCAGUAUAGUGGCCUUACUGAAUGUGGCACCGUCAUGGGAUGCCACCUUUCCAACAAGUCCGUUUGUCAAAUGUCUGCCCUGCUAGAGAUGCCCCGGGCAACUGUAAGUGCUGUUAUUGUGAAGUGGAAACUUCUAGGAAUAACAACAGCUCAGCUACUUAAGUGGUAGGUUACACAAGCUCACGGAAUGGGACCGCAGAAUACUAAAGUGCGUAGCAGGUAAAAAUCGUCUGUCCUCGGUUGCAACACUCGCUACCGGGUUCCAAACUGCCUCUGGAAGCAAUGUCAGCACAAUAACUUUUCGUCGGGAGUUUCAUGAAAUGGGUUUUCAUGGCGGAGCAGCCGCACACAAGCCUAAGAUCACCAUGAGCAAUACCAAGCGUCGGCUGGAGUGGUGUAAAGCUCGCUGCAAUUGUACUCUGGAGCAGUGGAAACACAUUAUCUGGAAUGAUGAAUUCACAUCUGGCAGUCCGACAGAAGAAUCUGGGUUUGGCAGAUGCCAGGAGAACGCCAAUGCGUCGUGCGAACUAUAAAGUUUCAUGGAGGACGAAUAAUGGUCUGGGGCUGUUUUUCAUGGUUCAGGCCCCUUAGUUCCAGUGAUGGGAAAUCUUAACCCUACAGCAAACAAUUACAUUAUAGACGAUUAUGUGCUUCCAACUUUGUGGCAACAGUUUGGGGAAGACCCUUUCCUGUUUCAGCAUGACAACGCCCCCGUGCACAAAGCAAGGUCCAUACACAAAUGGUUUGUUGAGAUCGGUGUGGAAGAUCUUGACUGUCCUGCACAGAUCCCUAACGUCAACCGCAUCAAACACCUUUGGGAUGAAUUGUAACGCAGACUGUGAGCCAGGGCUAAUCGCCCAACAUCAGUGCACGACUUCAUUAAUGCUCUAGUGGCAGAGUCUCUGCAGCAAAGGGGAGACCCAACUCCAUAUUAAUGCCCAUGAUUUUGUUCAACGAGCAGGUGUCCACAUACUUUUGGUCAUAUAGUGUAUAAUUUCUGUUUCCAGAUUUGUUAUAAUUUAGCGCAAACAACUACCUCUUUCCUUACUGUAUUUAAUUAAUUUAUUUAUUUUGCUCCUUUGCACCCCAUUAUUUGUAUUUCUACUUUGCACAUUCUUCCAUUGCAAAUCUACCAUUCCAGUGUUUUACUUGCUAUAUUGUAUUUACUUUGCCACCAUGGCCUUUUUUUGCCUUUACCUCCCUUCUCACCUCAUUUGCUCACAUCGUAUAUAGACUUGUUUAUACUGUAUUAUUGACUGUAUGUUUGUUUUACUUCAUGUGUAACUCUGUGUCGUUGUAUCUGUCGAACUGCUUUGCUUUAUCUUGGCCAGGUCGCAAUUGUAAAUGAGAACUUGUUCUCAACUUGCCUACCUGGUUAAAUAAAAAAAUAUAUACCUUAAACCACUUAUGUAUUUCAGUCAAAACUAGGGCUGUGAAAGUAAGUUGAAUAGUCUUUAUUUUACGUAUGUUUGUGUGGUUAUGAAACAGAUCAUUGCUGUGUGUAUUAGCUAGAGUAUUCAAAUGUGUAUUGGCCCAGCCCUUUGGGCACUGCAUCUUGCUCUAUUGUGUUAGAAGCAUAAUUAGAAACAGUAGCCUGACAUCGGUAGUG